AAAAAAGAGUGUUUUAAGCUGAAAUAAAAAAAGAGCAUGUUGGCAUGAGGAUCAUAGGAGUUGAAAUCCUCAUAGGUUAGCAGCUGCUUCUGUUUGUAGAUGUCUGGGUUCACAAAAGUGCAGCUCUCUUAAAGUUGGUUCUUAUAUUUGGAACAGGGUAACUCAAGCUCAGCGGGCUAAUUUCUGUUUUGCAUCAGGGUCAAGAAAGGGAGGGCACAGGGUGUAAAAAUAGCUCUGGUGUUUGGGAAAAGUCAUUGGAUCGGGAAAGAAUUAAAAUAAUUAAUUUGAUGUGAUUCAUUUGUUCUUAAAAUUCAGUAAUAUUUUCAAGUUAUAUAAUUUUGCCUGAAAUAUACAGAGAAUGUGAUCCUAAGAAACGUUUUGUGACUCAUAUAAAUAGAUCGGCCAUUAGUUGACCAUAAUUUCCAUAUGUGCAACUGUGUGUAGAAGAAACAAAAUUAAACUUGCCAGAGAUGUAGAAAAAAAUAGUCCAAUAGAUAUUUUUAUUGAAAAUAUUUACAGGUUCCCUCCCCACAAAAGAUUUAGCACCACAAAAGUGAAAAAGUUUCCAUGAAUCAAAUAAUUUUCUGUGAUGAUGAUGUUGGUGAUGAACAAAUUAAAUCACAAAAAAGACACAGCACAUUUGAUCACAUCAUUUUAUAAUGAAUUCAGCAGUAAAUGAAAUGAAAUGGUUAAGCAUGGAAGUUGGACAUGGUUCAGAUUAAUUUGGGAUGAUUUGUUCGUCUCUUUCACACCCCUGACAGAGAAAGCUGUCGCAUCGCUGACAUCAGAGGUCUUUUCAGGCUCCGAAGGGCUUAAGUGUUUCUCCUGUUUGCUUCAUCUCAGUCUCUGUUGGCGAACUGUAAGGCAAAGAGAUCUUACAGUCACAUUUUCACUCUGUUGUGGUUGCUCCAAAAACAGUGAUUUUCUUUUCUAAAAGGCAAAUGCAGUUCUGAUAAAAACUCUUAUCAAAAUCAUUAUUUCAUAGAUUUUGUCUUAUCUUGAAAUGAAAUGAAUAUACAACAAGCAA